rnacentral:rRNA from 1 species
AGUUCGGAUUGUAGUCUGNAACCCGACUACAUGAAGCUGGAAUCGCUAGUAAUCGCGGAUCAGAAUGCCGCGGUGAAUACGUUCCCGGGCCUUGUACACACCGCCCGUCACACCAUGAGAGUUGGGGAUACCCGAAGCCUGUGAGCUAACUUAACGGAGGCAGCAGUCGAAGGUAGAAUCAAUGAUUGGGGUGAAGUCGUAACAAGGUACC